AAUGGGGGAAACCCUGAUCCAGCAAUGCCGCGUGAAUGAAGAAGGCCUUAGGGUUGUAAAGUUCUUUUGUCCGUGACGAUAAUGACGGUAGCGGACGAAUAAGCCCUGGCUAACUCUGUGCCAGCAGCCGCGGUAAUACAGAGAGGGCAAGCGUUGUCCGGAAUGACUGGGCGUAAAGCGCGCGCAGGCGGUCUUUUAAGUUGGAUGUGAAAUCCCCGGGCUUAACCUGGGAACUGCAUUCGAUACUGGGAGACUAGAGGCCGAGAGAGGAAAGCGGAAUGACGAGUGUAGAGGUGAAAUUCGUAGAUAUUCGUCGGAACACCAGAGGCGAAGGCGGCUUUCUGGCUCGGACCUGACGCUCAGGCGCGAAAGCGUGGGGAGCAAA
rnacentral:rRNA from 1 species